AGAUGCUGCUGGGAAGAGGGUCUCAAAGAUGAGCUGAGGAGUCUCCCAGGCCCAACUCUCCAGCAUAACUUAAUCCAUGGACAGCAUCAGGAUCCUUGAGUAUUGCAGCAGUUCCUAUUUCCUGUCCCACCACGGACACCCUAUUUUUCAAAUAAUCACAUCACAAAGGCCAAAUUAUAAAGUCAGUUAUCAACUCACAAUUAAAGAAAAUAAAUCAUUACUACAAACCUGAAAUAAGACCCACAGGAAAAGGACUCCAUGAGCACAGACAGCAAAGAAGACCCAAGCUUCAUUAAAAGUUGACUUUUCUUUAGGAGCCUUAGAGGAUUCUUGUUUGGAUGACAGAGAACCAAGAAAAGUUCCUUUGGAUUUAUGUCACCUCAGAGCCUGUUGCCAUGGGAACUACAUUUCAAAAUCUUCUCAACUGGGGCUUCACUAAAGUCAUGUUCCUUGAAGAGCAGAUGAAGCCCAAGCAGGAAGCAGUGUAGGAAGAACUAUUCUUAACUGUAUUCUUUUGUUGCAAAGUUGCCCUCUUUCCAAAACUUGAAUCUCUAUAUAGUGCUUCUUUAUUUAUUUAUUUCUAUUUUUUCCACCUUUUUUUUUUUCAUUAUAAUCUAUUUGUGUCAUUCCAUGCGUGGUACCUGUAAAUGCAAUACAAUGUCUCUCAUGCAUUAACCCUUAGACUUCUUGUGCCACAAGGCUUGUCCCAAGUGCAUUGACCAUCACCACAUACCAGAGGAGUCCAAGCACAAAUGGCACUUCCAGAAGAAGAGAUACAUACAGAACCUCAUUGAAGAGAAGAGAUGGCAACAGAAAGAGCUUUAUUGGAAAUAGCCACAGUUAACUUCUGAGAAAGCAAAU